CCAAUUUUUACGAGUCUGGACUCCGUGGCAUGGGAGGCUACAAAAAAAAAUGUUGGUGACGGCUCAUUAAGGGGCGCUAGUCUGUGCAAGACAAUAUGAACCUCGGCUUUGGGGCGUCAGGACUGUCUUGCAUUUUAAUUUGGACUUUAUCACCUGCCGCCUACCUCCGGUAACACUGUUGAAGGUUCACAGACUGAGUUGUGAGGAGUUUUAUUUGUUUAUGUAUUGUGCGAGCCGUCGUUCAGCCUCGCUGUCAUUGGCAGGCCCCGGCUGCCUUGCAGGUCUUCUGAAUAUG